AUGAUAUUUGAUUCAGGUGUUUCUGCUCCUGUUGUGAAGAUUUUGCCUCCAUCCAGUGAAGAUGUGAGCUCCAGUAAAGUGACUCUGGUGUGUUUGAUCAAUGACAUGUCUGUGGGAUUUGCUGAUGUGAGUUGGUUUGUGAAUGGAAACUCAGUUACUGAUGGCGUCUUCACCGGAUCUGCCGAACAGCAGCCGAAUGAGAAAUUCAAGUUGAGCAGUUAUUUAACCAUUGAGAGAUCAGAGUGGGAGAAAGACAAAGAUCUCACAUGUAAAGUGACUGCUGCUGGAUCAAAGAUCACAACCACAAAGAUCAAGAAAUCUCAAUGCAAUGAAUAA